UACGUAGGCAGCAAGCGUUGUUCGGAAUUACUGGGCGUAAAGAGUGUGUAGGCGGUGCUAUAAGUCUGUUGUGAAAUCUCCCGGCUUAACCGGGAGGGUGCGGCGGAAACUGGAGUGCUUGAGGGUGGGAGAGGUAAGCGGAAUUCCUGGUGUAGCGGUGAAAUGCGUAGAUAUCAGGAGGAACACCUGUGGUGUAGACAGCUUACUGGACCACUUCUGACGCUGAGACACGAAAGCGUGGGUAGCAAACAGG
rnacentral:rRNA from 1 species